rnacentral:tRNA from 1 species
UAAGCGUGAGGUCGGAAGUUCAAGUCUUCCCAGGCCCACCAUUUUGAUCGAGUGCGGAGCAUUCGUCUUCUGGUACGGGGCCAUAGCUCAGCUGGGAGAGCGCGUGCUUUGCAAGCAUGAGGUCGUCGGUUCGAUCCCGUCUGGCUCCACCAGAUGGAAUUGAAGCUCGAGAAUGCCUCGUCAAAUUCGUCCGCGAAACAUCACUUCGCACUCAUUGGUCCGGAUGGACGGUGACGUGCGUGUUUUCUGACAUCGUAAAGAGGAGAUCGAUCCGAGUUUGGAUCUGCGAAGCAAUUCGCGGGUACCAUUCCUAAUCUCCAGAUCGUUUUCGGCGCUCGUUCAUCGCAAGAUGAGCGAGUUGUAAAACGAUCUUUGUAGCGAAGCUUGACCGCCUCGCUAUCGGGCCGAUCUUACGAAGCAAGCUGGUCUUUCUAGUCAAUGUCCGGCUGUGCAAUCGCAUUCAUCGAGGAUGCGCGCCUGAGACUUCGGUCUUUAGGCAAUUACACAGACAACAUUCUGCCGAGUGUGUGGACAUUGAUAAUGAGAGC